AUUGAACGCUGGCGGCACGCUUAACACAUGCAAGUCGAGCGGUAACAUGGCUAGUAGCAAUACUAACUGAUGACGAGCGGCGGACGGGUGAGUAACACGUAGGAACUUGCCCAGUAGUGGGGGACAACCAAGGGAAACUUUGGCUAAUACCGCAUAUUCCCGAUAGAGGAAAGCUGCCGCAAGGUGGCGCUAUUGGAGCGUGCUGCGUCGGAUUAGGUAGUUGGUGGGGUAAAGGCUAACCAAGCCGACGAUCUGUAGCUGGUCUGAGAGGACGACCAGCCACACGGGGACUGAGACACGGCCCAGACUCCUACGGGAGGCAGCAGUGGGGAAUUUUGGACAAUGGGCGAAAGCCUGAUCCAGCCAUGCCGCGUGCAGGAUGAAGGCCUUCGGGUUGUAAACUGCUUUUGUACGGAACGAAAAGGUUUGGCCUAAUAAGCUGAGCUCAUGACGGUACCGUAAGAAUAAGCACCGGCUAACUACGUGCCAGCCGCCGCAGUAA
rnacentral:rRNA from 1 species